rnacentral:lncRNA from 1 species
UGGAAGCUUAGCUCCUGCUUUGAUCACCCAAAUAAACGGUUUCCUGGAGGUUUCAAGUCCCAGUCCCAGCUCAACAAGCUGUUGAGGUGUAGUGCAAGCGAGGCUGCCAAAGCUGACAAAGACCAUUGAGCCUGGCUUCAUUGAAUCAAGCCAUUGCAAGCACUGUGCUUCAUCCAUUGACGCCUUGUUUCCUCUUGCGGCCAUAGUAUUGUUGUCUCGGUGACAGAGGAACAUUGGUCCGACCGCCCAGACCUUCUUCUUUGUCGUCUGCUCAAAGGAUUCAAUGUACAAUGUCUCCAGCUCCUGGAAGCUGUUAAUUACCUCACCAUCACUUUUCAGCUCUUCUUCAAGGAACUUCUUACGGAUUUGCUCCAUACCAGGAAUACAAAAAUUUCCAGGGCAUUUAGCCUUUGUCAGCUCUAGUGGCGUAGGGAACCCUGUGAUUGUGAUGAGCUCAUUUUCGUCUUUGACAUUUUGAAAUACAUUGUUGUGAUAAGUGAUGUACCUGCAAGAUGGUUGUAGCUGUUUCAAAUACGUAUAAGAGCAGACUUCUUCGACAAACGUCAACCAGAUAUAGCUGGCCUAAAAACUUGCCCAUGAAAACCUUUGCUGUCUGUGUUUCCUUAUGCAGUGUAAAUUACAUAUUUCAUCACACAAACUAGUAUUCCUUUCAGGUGUAGCCUUUUAUAUGUUCAAUGCUUUCUUCUCUCUGGAGGCAAUUUACACUAGUUUUCCGUCCACUGAUGAAGUAACGCACUUAAUUGUAGCAGCAAUAAUAUGCAUAGUACAAAAUUAAUUACUCACAAGAUUUGCCUCUUAUUAUGAUUGUACCUGAUGAGGGACGAGAAGCCACAAAAGCCACUAAAGGUCAGCCUCGGGAUACCAAGCUCCCUCGCGAUGUCACCAGUCCACCAGUGAAUCAGGUCAGAUAUGAUGCAGCUCGGAGGCAAGCGCUGCUGCUCACGGAGGUAUGCCUUGAGCGGCUCCUGAAGCGCAGCGAUGGCAUCCAUGAAGUUUGAGAGCAGAUCCGUGGAUUGGAUCAUGUCCAGGUUCUCGCACCCAUCCGGUAGGCCGAACUCGGCGCUCGGGAAAUGGAGCUCCACGAGCCGUACUGCCAGGCCCGCCGCCUCCACAUCGGCUGCAAAGCCUGCCAACCUGGAGGCAUUCACUGGUGUGGUGAUGAAGCUAACCUGCGCGCCGUGCUCUGCCAGCAGGCGCGCCAUGUCGGUCAUGGGGAUUGUGUGCCCCUGCGCCAACAUCGGUACCAGCACAAAGUGCGCCCUCGCGGAGCCGGUCUGGCCAUCGCCGAUGCCGGUGAAGGUCAUGGCUGAUCGGCUAUUGUAGCAAAAGGACUGGUGGUGGAGUCAGUCAAACUGGGAAGACAGUGACACCGGCAAGAUAGCACGAUGUGUUGGGCACAAUCUGAUAAUGGUCGCAAUGGCAACUAUAGUGUAUACAUAUAGCACCUGGUGCCAUGUCUUCCUAAGGAAAGAUGAUGAGCUGACGAUGCAACAGCAUAUCAAAUUGGUCACCUCUUGCUAGUGACGCAUGCUCUGACGUCAGUCAUGGACUUGUGAAGUCAGCCAUGUGGAUGAAUCUUGUUAAGUUCUGAAUCAUCAGAAUCCAGGCCAUUGGAUCAGACAUCGAGGGCUCAGAUUAACCACAGCUACCGCCUGUCACGCUCAAAGGGGAGUCAUUUUUACAGGAUUUGGAUGAUCCUCAUGUCUGAUGCUGACUUGUCGUAUAUGCACACUACUUAACUCUCAAGGCUGUGGAAGGCCGAGCCAGCCGAUAUAAUAUGAUAGUGCAUUAUUUUCUGUGUGGAGAUUCGGUCAUUCAGUGUAAUGUGGGUCUGUGGUAGUGGGUGGAAUUUUCUUGUCUGUAUCCUUUCAGGGUUUUGUUGGUGAGAAGCUAAAAGGAUCUCCCAGUGAUAUGGAAAAUAUGAGUCCAUUUCUGGAGCGCAAUGCAUCCUAAUCAACACAGUGGCUUCCUGACGCAAAGAGGUACGACCGAGGCUCCUUGUUUUCAUUUUGCUUCAUGCACACAGACCUAAUAAACUCCAUAUCUAGAAAGAAUUUAAUACCCCCUAAAAAAAGGAUUUAAUACAAGACCGCAGCGAUUAGCAAUGAAACAAGGUCUGUUAUUAGGCCAUGUACAGUGCCUGGUGCAAUGCAACAGCGCAGUGUCCGGUGCACGGCGGCGCCCCUCCCUAGUUGCUCGGAGUCAUUGUCCUACGCCUCCACGAACCGUGGCUAGUCGUGCAGCGGUAGCAAAAUGCAAGGGAGAGCGUAACCAUCUAGAAUAGCAGACUGUGUAGUUGUUAUGUGGACUGCCAUGAAAGAGCGUACAUAAUAGAGAGGAUAAUUGAUAUUCCCUUCAUUUGGAUCAUCUAUAAUCUCUAAAUAAUCACCUGUGAGCCUGGUACAAAAUUCUAUAUGAUGAUAUAUGUACUCUAGGAUGUUUCACUUCAUGUUUACACUGAAAAAGCGAGCUUAGGUAAUCUCUAUCAACCACAUGCAUUCGUCUUGUUUCCCAUUUCUUGAAUUAACAGCCUUACGUUGUUGUAAGAAGAACCUUCCUCGUCGAAAGCCCUCCUUGCCUUAAUGGCGCAGUCUUCUGCUCUCAUUCUCAACUCCUCUGUAGCCUCCCCUUCACCCAUCAGGGUGUUCACUGCUGUCUCCACAGCAUCUCUGGUAACCAUAACCUCCUGGUUUUCACUUCCCCACUGUGUAACUCCUUUCACUCCAACCUCCAUCCCGAUUUGCAGCACAUCCACAAGCAGCUUCUCAUUCAAAAACUGCUCCCCAAAGUGUGGCCAUGUGAUCAUGGGCACACCUGCACAGAUGCCCUCUAUUGUUGAGUUCCACCCGCAGUGCGUCACGAAUCCUCCAACGGCUUGGUGCUGCAGGAUCAUGAGCUGUGGUGCCCAACCCCUUAUGAUCAGACCUCUGUCUUUGACGCGCUCCUCGAACCCAUCUGCGAGCCAUUCCUCGACUUCUGGAAGCUUAGCUCCUGCUUUAAUCACCCAAACAAAUGGUUUCUUGGAGGCUUCAAGUCCCAGUCCCAGUUCAACAAGUUGUUGAGGUGUAGUGCAAGCGAGGCUUCCAAAACUCACAAAGAUCACUGAGCCUGGCUUCCUUGAAUCAAGCCAUUGCAAGCACUGUGCCUCAUCCAUUGACGCCUUGUUUCCUCUUGCGGCCGUUCUGUUGCUGUUUCGGUGGCAGAGGCACAUUGGCCCGAUCGUCCAGACCUUCUUCCUUGUUAUCUGCUCAUAGGAUUCAAUGUACAAUGUCUCGAGCUCUUUGAAGCUAUUGGUGAUCUCACCAUCGCAUCUCAGCUCCUCCUCAAACAUCUUCUCACGGAUUUGCUCCAUACCCGGAACACAAAGGGUUCCAGGCAACUUAGCCUUCGUCAACUCUAGCGGUGUAGGGAACCCCGGGAUCGUGAUGAGCUCAUUGUCAUCUGUGACAUUCUCCAAUACAUUGUUGUGAAAAACGAUGUACCUGCAAGAUGAUAUUAGUUGUUUAAAAUACGUUGAAGUGCAGACAUCGUUGACACAUCAAC